ACAUUCGGUUCGUGUAUGACUGAAUCCGUGAAAUGCAUUGCUGUGCUGGAUGUCGGGGCUGCCAGGAGGAAGGAGACCUCUUCCCCGUGGAGCACACCAGUGAAUCGAGGCCCACCCGGAAGGAGCUCGUGGCGCGUGGUUGCAGAGAAGAGAUUUUUGAUGGGACGGCCUAGAUCUGACAUCGGCCUGAAGAGUGAGUGGAGGAUACAGAAGACGGCUGCGUGAACCUUGUUGCCACUGUAAACUCUUUCGGUGGCCUUCUCUGUACUCUGCAGAGCAUACUUCUUUUCCUACCUUUAGCACCUUUAGUAAAUGUAAAACCUUUCUACCUAUCGUGCAUUUCUUGUCCAAUUCUUCGUUCAGGACGAGAAGAACCUGGGAAGGGUGCCCAGGAAGAACAGGCACGCCAGGCCGUGCUAACGCUGCCACAUGUAACUACUCACAGUGGGAGGGUGCUUCGCCGAGCAGGCGACAGGGGACACGUUUGGACUUGGGACAGGACUACAGUGCUUUCCCUAAGAAUCCCCGGCAAUGCGCGGGACAGGGCAAACCUGGGAAGCCAAAGCAGGAGAAGCGGAAGACCGGACAGGGCAGGGCUGCUGGCGGAGGUCAGGAAGAGGUAGGCGAGGUGAGCAAGAGGGGCGUGGGAGGGAGAAGUAGGAGGCCAGACGGAGCUGGCCCCGCGGGGUGCCAUCUAACCCGCCUUUGCGAGUGUCCCCAGGAACUCCAGGACGCCUGGCCCAGCCGAGUGGCUCCAGCAGAGCAGAAGUCGCUGUGGACUCCUGUAUGGAGGCUACCAGAGGCCAGCCAGCCAGCGUCUCAGCCGCGUGAGGGAGAGAGGAGCGUUCCUGCUUCAUCUGAGCAGGGCCCCGGCCCAGGUCUACCAGGUCGCACAUGGCGGACAGCAGACCGAAAUUCCCGGAGAAGGCGCUCGCAAGGUUGAGAUCAAGUUGUGGGCCGUGUCCAUCUAGACCGCGAUGCUGGGAGACUGCUCCGACAGCUGGAGGACUGAAGUCCCGCCUCCUUGCCAGCUGUUCCUCCGAGGCUGCUCUCAGCCCCUCCGGCAUCUGCAUUCCUUCUGUGUGGCCCCUCCAUCUUCAAAGACAGCUACAAAGAACCUGCCUGGUGUCAAAUCCCUGUCGUCCUUCAAGCCACCCGAGCCAUCUGUUAGCUUCCACUAUCAGAUGGGCCCGAGGGGCCCACUGUGAAUAACAAAGACAGUCCUGUCGCUUAGGAGAUUCCAGGAUUCAGUUAUCUCCCCGGAAUGGGCCAAAGGCCAGUCAAAUUCCCUUCCCUCCUUCCCUCCUUCCCUCCUUCCCUUCUCCCUCCUCCCUUCCUCCUUUCCUCCCUCGUUCCCUCCCUCCAUCUUUCCCUUCCUCUUCCUCCACAACCAUGGCUGUUGUCACAUCCAAAAAAACUAAAACGAUUCUUUAUUUUCAUCAAAUAGCCAAUAUGUUGUAAUUGUCCCAUUAUCUCAUUAAAAAAUAGUUGAUUUCAGCAAAUCAGUGUCCUCACAAAGCUUCACAUAUUGUACUUGGCUGAUAUAUAUGCUAAGGUUCUUGUAGUUUAUAGGCAGAUUCGCCCUCUUUUUAUUUUUUGCUUACAAUUUAUUUGUAGAAGAAAAUGAGUCAUUUGUUCUAUAGAGUCUACCACAUUCUAGAUUUUGCAUAAAUUAUAUAACUAUAAAAUCCACCCAGAUACUGUUUACACUUAACAUAUUGUAAUUAAUUUAGCUAGAACGGAGAGUUCCGACAUACCUUGUAGAAAUGUCAUAGGCACAACUCAAAAGACCCUUGUGAAGCACUUAGUGAGCACCUUGGUGAUGUGGAAAAUUCUAGAAUAUCUAUUCUAGUCCACCCUUGAUCCAGGCCUCAAGACCAUCAUGUGUUACCUUAAAUUAACUCCAGGAGGACCCCAGGACUCCAUACAGGUCUGUGACUACGGUGUUGCUCAAAGCCACCACGCCCGGCUCCAACAAACAAACAAAUUGAAAAAGAAGUAAAAGAAGAAGGUUUGACCAACCAGGACUUUGGAGCUCUGGGGUCCACUUGUACGAACUCCAGAAAAAUAAAACUAGAACUCUGGCUGGGUUGGAAAUCUGGUUUUUGAGACCCAGAUGAUCUUCAAGCCAGGAUGUCACAGAUUUACAGAACGUAACUAUAAAAAAAAGUUCAAAUAAAUAAAAUUGGCUCUAUCUCAAAAACUAUGUCUUUUUACAAAGGUCUUAGAAAAGUGCUUCGAACCCUGAAAAUGGAUACGAGUCAUUUAUUCUGCUCCACCAUAAAUGCACUGGAAUUAUGUCUUCCUAUAAUCUGACAGGCCAUGAACAGCCCCAUUCUAUCCAGUGCAUUUGCCGGGAAUGCUGAAAACUGAGCCCAAAAUAAGGGCCUUUAAAAACCCUAUCACAAUUCCCUGGCAAUGGAUGCAUCUCCGAUCUUGUCUCUAAAACAGCGUCAUUUUCAUGUUCAGCGGGGAGAUUGUACCCCACCAUGAGUGUGCAUUAGAUGUUCUUAGUAUAUUCUCAGAGGGACGAGGCUAGGUCUCCCCAGUUGGGCUGCAGUCCAGGUUUUCGUCCUGUUGAACACAGUCUGAGGCUGGGCCGAAUACCGCAGCCACUCCAAGGACCCAUUCGUGGCUAGGAGGAGCCUUUGGCCUAGGGGAGCCCAGGAGGUUCCCUGACCUAAAUGACAAGGUGUUUGGCAGAUUUAAAAUGUACAAAGUGCUCUGCCACAGUGUGGGAACUCGGAAACACACAUGCUUCCAUAGGCCAACCAGAAGUCUCUCCAUCCUGAGAUCUGUCCCUCCACCAGCUGUCCGAUGACUUAGCUGCGAAGCCCAGAGCGUCUCAGAAAGAACCAGUUCAGUUCCUUCUCUAAAGCCAUCUGCCAAUUCCACCCCAAGAGAAUCUCUUUCAUCAUUCCUGUCACAGAAGGGUCCAGCAGCUGCCUCAGGUCCCAAUCUGUCAGAAAGACCACGGCAGUGGCUGCCGGAAACAAACUCGUCAGAAGCAGAGCAGAAGGCUGAGAGCGAAGGGUGGGGAGGUGCUCCCCAAGUCCCACAGGCGUGUGCACCGAGCCUUUGUUUUUGCUGGGUCUCUCUUUCUGUGAAAUUUCACAAACAUCUCUUUAUCAUUCAGCGCCUGGGGGACAUUUCUUAUUCUCCUUAGUAGCACCGCGCAGUCAAGCAGCUUUGGAAAACCCGCGUUGUGGUCUGGCCCUUUUCCUGGCUGAAACUCCUGUGCUUUCUUUUUUUUGUCUUUUUGAGACAGGGUCUCGCUAUUCAGUUCAGGCUGGCCUUGAGCUCACUUUGUAGCCCAGGCUGGUCUCGAACUCACAACGAUCCUCCUGCCUCAGCCUCCCAAGUGCUGGGAUUACAGGUGUGCGCCACCACGCCCGGCGUCCUCUGCUUUCUUCUUUGUCUUCUCAUCACCUUCUUUCACUCUCU
ensembl:lincRNA